UUUCCGUAGGUGAACCUGCGGAAGGAUCAUUACUGAGUGAGGGCCCUCUGGGUCCAACCUCCCACCCGCGUUUAACGAACCUUGUUGCUUCGGCGGGCCCGCCUCACGGCCGCCGGGGGGCAUCUGCCCCCGGGCCCGCGCCCGCCGAAGCCACCUGUGAACGCUGUCUGAAGUAUGCAGUCUGAGACAAUUAUUAAAUUAAUUAAAACUUUCAACAACGGAUCUCUUGGUUCCG
rnacentral:misc_RNA from 1 species